GAUGAACGCUGGCGGCGUGCUUAAUACAUGCAAGUCGAGCGAACAGACGAGGAGCUUGCUCCUCUGACGUUAGCGGCGGACGGGUGAGUAACACGUGGAUAACCUACCUAUAAGACUGGGAUAACUUCGGGAAACCGGAGCUAAUACCGGAUAAUAUAUUGAACCGCAUGGUUCAAUAGUGAAAGACGGUUUUGCUGUCACUUAUAGAUGGAUCCGCGCCGCAUUAGCUAGUUGGUAAGGUAACGGCUUACCAAGGCAACGAUGCGUAGCCGACCUGAGAGGGUGAUCGGCCACACUGGAACGGAGACACGGUCCAGACUCCUACGGGAGGCAGCAGUAGGGAAUCUGCCGCAAUGGGCGAAAGCCUGACGGAGCAACGCCGCGUGAGUGAUGAAGGUCUUCGGAUCGUAAAACGCUGUUAUUAGGGAAGAACAAAUGUGUAAGUAACUAUGCACGUCUUGACGGUACCUAAUCAGAAAGCCACGGCUAACUACGU
rnacentral:rRNA from 1 species